GACGAACGCUGGCGGCGUGCCUAAUACAUGCAAGUAGAACGCAGUUGCGAACGGGUGAGUAACGCGUAGGUAACUGCCUGGUAGCGGGGGAUAACUAUUGGAACCGCUAGCUAAUACCGCAUACUACCAGAUGGACCUGCGUUGUAUUAGCUAGUUGGUGAGGUAACGGCUCACCAAGGCAAAGAUACAUAGCCGACCUGAGAAGGUGAGCCGCCAAACGGGGACUGGGGAACGGCACAGACUGCUAAGGGAGGCAGCAGGAGGGAAUCUUCGGCAAAGGGGGGAACGCUGACCGAGCAACGCCGGGGUGGGGAAGAAGGUUUUCGGAUCGUAAAGCGCUGUUGUGAAGGAAGCGUUACUUAACCAGAAAGGGACGGCUAACUACGUGCCAGCAGCCGCGGUAAUAC
rnacentral:rRNA from 1 species